rnacentral:rRNA from 1 species
GCGAUAAGCGUCGGUGAGGUGAUAUGAACCGUUAUAACCGGCGAUUUCCGAAUGGGGAAACCCAGUGUGUUUCGACACACUAUCAUUAACUGAAUCCAUAGGUUAAUGAGGCGAACCGGGGGAACUGAAACAUCUAAGUACCCCGAGGAAAAGAAAUCAACCGAGAUUCCCCCAGUAGCGGCGAGCGAACGGGGAGGAGCCCAGAGCCUGAAUCAGUGUGUGUGUUAGUGGAAGCGUCUGGAAAGGCGCGCGAUACAGGGUGACAGCCCCGUACACAAAAAUGCACAUACUGUGAGCUCGAUGAGUAGGGCGGGACACGUGGUAUCCUGUCUGAAUAUGGGGGGACCAUCCUCCAAGGCUAAAUACUCCUGACUGACCGAUAGUGAACCAGUACCGUGAGGGAAAGGCGAAAAGAACCCCGGCGAGGGGAGUGAAAAAGAACCUGAAACCGUGUACGUACAAGCAGUGGGAGCCUCUUAAUGGGGUGACUGCGUACCUUUUGUAUAAUGGGUCAGCGACUUAUAUUCUGUAGCAAGGUUAACCGAAUAGGGGAGCCGAAGGGAAACCGAGUCUUAACUGGGCGUUAAGUUGCAGGGUAUAGACCCGAAACCCGGUGAUCUAGCCAUGGGCAGGUUGAAGGUUGGGUAACACUAACUGGAGGACCGAACCGACUAAUGUUGAAAAAUUAGCGGAUGACUUGUGGCUGGGGGUGAAAGGCCAAUCAAACCGGGAGAUAGCUGGUUCUCCCCGAAAGCUAUUUAGGUAGCGCCUCGUGAAUUCAUCUCCGGGGGUAGAGCACUGUUUCGGCAAGGGGGUCAUCCCGACUUACCAACCCGAUGCAAACUGCGAAUACCGGAGAAUGUUAUCACGGGAGACACACGGCGGGUGCUAACGUCCGUCGUGAAGAGGGAAACAACCCAGACCGCCAGCUAAGGUCCCAAAGUCAUGGUUAAGUGGGAAACGAUGUGGGAAGGCCCAGACAGCCAGGAUGUUGGCUUAGAAGCAGCCAUCAUUUAAAGAAAGCGUAAUAGCUCACUGGUCGAGUCGGCCUGCGCGGAAGAUGUAACGGGGCUAAACCAUGCACCGAAGCUGCGGCAGCGACACUAUGUGUUGUUGGGUAGGGGAGCGUUCUGUAAGCCUGUGAAGGUGGCCUGUGAGGGUUGCUGGAGGUAUCAGAAGUGCGAAUGCUGACAUAAGUAACGAUAAAGCGGGUGAAAAGCCCGCUCGCCGGAAGACCAAGGGUUCCUGUCCAACGUUAAUCGGGGCAGGGUGAGUCGACCCCUAAGGCGAGGCCGAAAGGCGUAGUCGAUGGGAAACAGGUUAAUAUUCCUGUACUUGGUGUUACUGCGAAGGGGGGACGGAGAAGGCUAUGUUGGCCGGGCGACGGUUGUCCCGGUUUAAGCGUGUAGGCUGGUUUUCCAGGCAAAUCCGGAAAACCAAGGCUGAGGCGUGAUGACGAGGCACUACGGUGCUGAAGCGACAAAUGCCCUGCUUCCAGGAAAAGCCUCUAAGCAUCAGGUAACAUCAAAUCGUACCCCAAACCGACACAGGUGGUCAGGUAGAGAAUACCAAGGCGCUUGAGAGAACUCGGGUGAAGGAACUAGGCAAAAUGGUGCCGUAACUUCGGGAGAAGGCACGCUGAUAUGUAGGUGAAGCGACUUGCUCGUGGAGCUGAAAUCAGUCGAAGAUACCAGCUGGCUGCAACUGUUUAUUAAAAACACAGCACUGUGCAAACACGAAAGUGGACGUAUACGGUGUGACGCCUGCCCGGUGCCGGAAGGUUAAUUGAUGGGGUUAGCGGCAACGCGAAGCUCUUGAUCGAAGCCCCGGUAAACGGCGGCCGUAACUAUAACGGUCCUAAGGUAGCGAAAUUCCUUGUCGGGUAAGUUCCGACCUGCACGAAUGGCGUAAUGAUGGCCAGGCUGUCUCCACCCGAGACUCAGUGAAAUUGAACUCGCUGUGAAGAUGCAGUGUACCCGCGGCAAGACGGAAAGACCCCGUGAACCUUUACUAUAGCUUGACACUGAACAUUGAGCCUUGAUGUGUAGGAUAGGUGGGAGGCUUUGAAGUGUGGACGCCAGUCUGCAUGGAGCCGACCUUGAAAUACCACCCUUUAAUGUUUGAUGUUCUAACGUUGGCCCGUAAUCCGGGUUGCGGACAGUGUCUGGUGGGUAGUUUGACUGGGGCGGUCUCCUCCUAAAGAGUAACGGAGGAGCACGAAGGUUGGCUAAUCCUGGUCGGACAUCAGGAGGUUAGUGCAAUGGCAUAAGCCAGCUUGACUGCGAGCGUGACGGCGCGAGCAGGUGCGAAAGCAGGUCAUAGUGAUCCGGUGGUUCUGAAUGGAAGGGCCAUCGCUCAACGGAUAAAAGGUACUCCGGGGAUAACAGGCUGAUACCGCCCAAGAGUUCAUAUCGACGGCGGUGUUUGGCACCUCGAUGUCGGCUCAUCACAUCCUGGGGCUGAAGUAGGUCCCAAGGGUAUGGCUGUUCGCCAUUUAAAGUGGUACGCGAGCUGGGUUUAGAACGUCGUGAGACAGUUCGGUCCCUAUCUGCCGUGGGCGCUGGAGAACUGAGGGGGGCUGCUCCUAGUACGAGAGGACCGGAGUGGACGCAUCACUGGUGUUCGGGUUGUCAUGCCAAUGGCACUGCCCGGUAGCUAAAUGCGGAAGAGAUAAGUGCUGAAAGCAUCUAAGCACGAAACUUGCCCCGAGAUGAGUUCUCCCUGACCCUUUAAGGGUCCUGAAGGAACGUUGAAGACGACGACGUUGAUAGGCCGGGUGUGUAAGCGCAGCGAUGCGUUGAGCUAACCGGUACUAAUGAACCGUGAGGCUUAACCUU